GUGAGGAAUUUUCCGCAAUGGGCGAAAGCCUGACGGAGCAAUGCCGCGUGAAGGAUGAAGGCCUAUGGGUUGUAAACUUCUUUUCUCAGAAAAGAAUUAUGACGGUAUCUGAGGAAUAAGCAUCGGCUAACUCUGUGCCAGCAGCCGCGGUAAGACAGAGGAUGCAAGCGUUAUCCGGAAUGAUUGGGCGUAAAGCGUCUGUAGGUUGUUUAAAAAGUAUUCUGUCAAAGAUUAGGGCUUAACCCUAGAUAGGCAGAAUAAACUUUUAAGCUAGAGUUUGGUAGAGGCAGAGGGAAUUCCCGGUGGAGCGGUGAAAUGCGUAGAUAACGGGAGGAACACCAAAGGCGAAGGCACUCUGCUGGGCCAAUACUAACACUGAGAGACGAAAGCGAGGGGAGCAAAUGGGAUUAGAAACCCCAGUAGUCC
rnacentral:rRNA from 1 species